rnacentral:lncRNA from 1 species
UUUUUAUAUAUUUGUUAGCUCAACGGUUUGAUUACUUAUAUAAUAUCCUUUCCUUUUGUUUAAAUUUAGUUGAAUUUGAUUCUGAUUGUAUCUAUACACUCUUUGUUGAAGAUUUUUGUUGAAGGUUGAAGUUUUAUUUAAUCUAUAUUUUCUUCGGGUUGCUAACUCAACGGUAGAGUACUCGGCUUUUAAGUGCGGCUAGAAUAUUUUACACAUUUGGAUGAAGUGAGGAAUUCAUCCAUAUCAUUGGUAAAGUUUGGAAGACCGCGACUAAUCCUGCAAAGGAAUAAUGAAAAAAAGAGCAUGUCGUAUCAAUGGAGAGU